UGUUCGAAGCGCUGGAAUUGAAAUUGUUCUAUAUUUUACGGAGGUUACUCUUCCUUUGAAUUUUCAGCACUGCAGAUUCGACUUUUUUCUUAAUUACUGGUUUUGAAUAGAGGUUGCAGCAAAAUACAGAAGGAUGGAGGCUCCAAUCUUCAUGUAGCCAUUGUGAUUCAGGUUUUCCAUGGUUUCUCUAAUUUACUUCAGGAUUUCAGGUGGCUACUACUGUAAGGCCACAGCCAACUACCUGUUGCAUCCUUGCCAUACUGUACUAUUACUACUACUACUACAACAGAAUCAUCAGAAAUGGCAGCAUGGGAUGUUGUAAUGCAAUAUACAUGACAACCAUUAAUUGUCACUUCUAGAAACACAGUGACUGUCUCUUCUGCAGCAAAGUGUUCGAAAAACAAGCAGCUUGUCUUGAAACUAGGUGCCAAUUUGAUAGUAGUGCAAGAAGAGUUGGCAAUUUUGAGAGCUGCAGUCUGCAGUUGUAAUAUUAUGGUUAGACUAGAACAGUGGAUCACCGUCAAGCCUUCUAAAUCUGUACAAAGAUCUAGGUGAUGCUCCAAAUCUAUUUGUUUCAUUCUACUUGUCUCUGAUAGCUUCAUU